rnacentral:sRNA from 2 species
CCCGCCACGCCUCUUAACAAUGCGUACCACGGCGGGA